UACGUAGGGUGCGAGCGUUAAUCGGAAUUACUGGGCGUAAAGCGUGCGCAGGCGGUUCGUUGUGUCGGCGGUGAAAGCCCCGGGCUUAACCUGGGAAUGGCCGUCGAAACUGGCGAACUGGAGUGUGGCAGAGGGGGGUGGAAUUCCCCAAGUAGAGGUGAAAUUCGUAGAUAUGGGGAGGAACACCGGUGGCGAAGGCGGCCAUCUGGACGGAUACUGACGCUGAGACGCGAAAGCGUGGGGAGCAAACAGG
rnacentral:rRNA from 1 species